rnacentral:ncRNA from 1 species
AAAGCGUCGAGAAAAAGAUAGACUGCCUUGUGCGCCAGCGCACAGCGUUAGUCUCCUAUUUUCUUCUCGCUUU